GCCAGGCGGGGUGGCGCACGCCUGUAAUCCCAGCAGCUCUGGAGGCUGAGGCAGGAGGAUCUCAAGUUUAAAGCCAGCCUCAG
rnacentral:sRNA from 1 species